AACGAACGCUGGCGGCAGGCCUAACACAUGCAAGUCGAGCGAGGACUUCGGUUCUAGCGGCGGACGGGUGAGUAGCGCGUGGGAACGUUCCCUUUGCUUGGGAAUAGCCCUGGGAAACUGGGAGUAAUACCGGAUGAGCCCUAUGGGGGCAUGAUUUAUUGGCGAAGGAUCGGCCCGCGUGGGAUUAGGUAGUUGGUGGGGUGAUGGUCUACCAAGCCUAAGUUCCAUAGCUGGUGUGAGAGGAUGGUCAGACACACUGGGACUGGGACACGGCCCAGACUCCUACGAGAAGCAGCAGUGGGGACUCUUAGACAAUGGGGGAAUCCCUGAUCUAGCCAUGCCGCGUGAGCGAUGAAGGCCUUAGGGUCGUAAAGCUCUUUCAGCUGGGAAGAUAAUGACGGUACCAGCAGAAGAAGCCCCGGCUAACUCCGUG
rnacentral:rRNA from 1 species